rnacentral:lncRNA from 1 species
CUGUUAUAAUCCACCAAAUAUAAUAACUUUUGUGAAAGUAAUUUCGUAAUUAAGGGAAGUUUUUCUAUUAUGGUCAUCACUAAAACCAAUAAAGUUGUACAAGGUAAUUAAGUGGAUGAUUUUCUAUACCGAUUAUAGGUUUAACCAGUAUAGUAAAUCAAAAUUUCAUAUUCAUCAUGCUUCACUUUCCUUUUUUGUCUUGUGAACUUUAUUUCCUUCAUUUCCUUCCCU